rnacentral:rRNA from 1 species
UGGGGAAUAUUGCACAAUGGGCGAAAGCCUGAUGCAGCAACGCCGCGUGAGUGAUGAAGGCCUUCGGGUUGUAAAGCUCUGUCUUUUGGGACGAUAAUGACGGUACCAAAGGAGGAAGCCACGGCUAACUACGUGCCAGCAGCCGCGGUAAUACGUAGGUGGCAAGCGUUGUCCAGAUUUACUGGGCGUAAAGGAUGCGUAGGCGGAUUUUUAAGUGAGAUGUGAAAACCCUAAGCUUAACUUGGGGACUGCAUUUCAUACUGGAAAUCUAGAGUGCGGGAGAGGAGAAUGGAAUUCCUAGUGUAGCGGUGAAAUGCGUAGAGAUUAGGAAGAACACCAGUGGCGAAGGCGAUUCUCUGGACCGUAACUGACGCUGAGGCAUGAAAGCGUGGGUAGCAAACAGGAUUAGAUACCCUGGUAGUCCACGCCGUAAACGAUGAGUACUAGGUGUAGGAGGUAUCGACCCCUUCUGUGCCGCAGUUAACACAAUAAGUACUCCGCCUGGGAAGUACGAUCGCAAGAUUAAAAC